rnacentral:lncRNA from 13 species
UGCCUGACAUUUGGGUGUUCAUGGAGUGCUUUGAUUGGCUGAAGCAUGGGGUUUUUUAAUAAUAUGAGCUGUUAGUCUAAACAAUCGUUUCUAAGCAAAACCCUUAAAUUUAUUCUUUAAAAUACUUCAUUUUAUCUUAAUGGACAAGACACUAUUUGAGGAUACAUGGUUCCUGCUUUUGAGCAAUCUAUCUUCUAGUGAGGAAUACGCAUGUAUACACCCCAACAUAAUCUGUGAGUGCUGUGUUAUAAAGAGGUAAGAGAGUGUUGAAGGGACCAGGGGAGGGAGACAUUGUCCUAGGACUCUUCUAAUUGAAAAGAGUGUCACAUACUCAAAAUAUCGCUGCGAAUUUGACACACAGGAAUGAGGUUGAGGAAUAAGGGACACCACCAACAUCCCAACGGCUUGGAAUAAAAUUCAAAUUCCUUCUUUAGCAUCUGAGGCCCACAUCAGUGAUUUUCCUCUUUGGCUGAAGAUCAGAACCCAACUCACGAACUCCAGAAUCUGAUGCCUAAACUCCAUUGCCGGAGAUUCUGGUUUAUUUCAUGCCAAGGAGGCUUCACUAGUGAGCGAUGAGAGUGUGAGCCAUCACAGUGGGUCUGUCCUCCUUGCUGAUCAUUCAGGUUGAGUGAGUGUCACAGUCCCGGCAAGUGAGACUUGAGUGAAGUUCGGCAGGGGACCCUCUGUGCUGCUGUGACAUCUCUAUUCCCAAGUCUGCAGAAAUCAAAGCGAUCUAAAUGUAAAGAGGUAUCCUGAUAUCCAAUUCUGAACAAAUGGAUCGUUUAUUUGCCUUCAGAGUCACCUUUGCCAUUGUCAAACCAAAGAAGAGAAAAAUUAUCACUUAGCUGGAAGUGUCUGUUUGAUAUUAUAGGAGGGUCUAAUGGUCAAAGGUUUAAACUUGGAAAGCAAUCCUAUUGCAAUGCAGCUGUUGCUGAUUUUAUGAGAAGACCUGGUCAAAGGGAAGAAGGAAUGAAAUGGCAUAGCUGUAAAAAAAAAAAAAAGAAUCAAAUGGACAUGUAAUUCAGUUUGGCUGUUCACUUGCUUGAGAGGAAGUCAGCUGAAAUAUCAUGAAAAUGGCCCUAUGGACAAGCCUGCAUGGUGAAAAAUAGAAGCUUCCUUACGAAAGCCACAUGACGGAGUUUGGAAGCAGAUUCUCGAGUCUGUGAGAUGAUUGCAGCCUGGAAGGACAACCUUGUCAGCAACCUCAUGAGAAACUAUGAGCCAAAAGUCACCCAAAUAAGCUGCUCCUAGAUUCCUGACUCACAGAAAUGGUGAGAUAAUAAAUGCUGUUUAAGUUGCUGACUUUGGGGUAAU